ACGACCUCUCCACUGGGAUCUCUGUGGGGUCCCUGACUUGGUCCACAAGGAACCUGCACGUCUCCACACAUUAGGACUAAACUUCACUUGUAAUCAAGAUGGUGGCUGUAUAAAGAGAUAGACAAAGCCUGUGAUGUUCUCUUAGUCAAAAUGUUGUUUUCUUGUGUUUUAUGUUCACUUCCUGUUUUAUUUUGUUAUCUGCUGCUUGUGUAUGAUUUCUAGCCUGACUUCCUGCCAUUGUUCCAACACACCUGUGUCUCAUCUGUAAUUAGUCAGACCUGUAUUUAAACCCCUGAGUUUCCACUGGUCCUCUACCAGAUUGUUACCGUUACCUUAGUGUUUCAUGCGUUCCAGCCUUAUUUACCGUGUGUUUGCUUGGCCGGUUUUGACCUUUUUUUGGAUUUUUGGGUUUUGUGGAUUUGCCCUUUCUGGAUUUUACUGCCCUCGCUGACUGUCUUCUUGGAGGAGUGGAGGUGUUGGAGCAGCGGGGUUAAUCAGAAAACAUGCUGAAAUCAGGAUUUUCCUGCCACCUUCCACCUCAGACCUCCUGCUGCUUCAGACGACAGGGAGAAACACAAAGGAGGAUAAAAAAAAGUGACUUCUGAACAGUUUUUGGGAUAUACAGUCGGCACA